rnacentral:rRNA from 1 species
GAGUUUGAUCCUGGCUCAGGAUGAACGCUGGCGGCGUGCUUAACACAUGCAAGUCGAACGAAGCACUUUAUUUGAUUUCCUUCGGGACUGAUUAUUUUGUGACUGAGUGGCGGACGGGUGAGUAACGCGUGGGUAACCUGCCUUGUACAGGGGGAUAACAGUUGGAAACGGCUGCUAAUACCGCAUAAGACCACAGCACCGCAUGGUGCAGGGGUAAAAACUCCGGUGGUAUGAGAUGGACCCGCGUCUGAUUAGGUAGUUGGUGGGGUAACGGCCUACCAAGCCAACGAUCAGUAGCCGACCUGAGAGGUUGAACGGCCACAUUGGGACUGAGACACGGCCCAGACUCCUACGGGAGGCAGCAGUGGGGAAUAUUGCACAAUGGGGGAAACCCUGAUGCAGCGACGCCGCGUGAGUGAAGAAGUAUCUCGGUAUGUAAAGCUCUAUCAGCAGGGAAGAAAAUGACGGUACCUGACUAAGAAGCCCCGGCUAACUACGUGCCAGCCGCCGCGGUAAUUC